GUGUUGUAUUCGCUGUUCCAACAUCGAUCCCCCGUUCUCGACGAAAAAGAAAGAGAGGAGAAAGUAGAAGGUGACCGUACCUUUGACGCUACGCUGAUCGGAGACGUGACAUGGUAGUUGGAGAAGAUGAAUGAUACCGGCGGACGGGUGGUCCACCGGUGGAACCGGGUAAGACGUUGUUGCUGGAGGGAGGGGUGAGAGUAAUCAAAAUCCUUUGGAUUUUGCAAAACAGGUGGAUCAUCUUGGGGCUUUAGUUACAAGAACCUUAUACUCAGUUGCUGCUUCUGCUCCUGCUCCCGCUCCCGCUCCUGAAUCUUGUUCUCACUCUCGCUUCGCAGGGUUUUACAUUUCUUCACAUUUUGCGAGUUGUCACUCCCCUGUCCUGUAUGUAAAUCUUCCACCACUCUUGCUUUGUGCAUGUAAUGCUGGGGCUUGUUGUUUUGUAGCUGGAUCUGAAUAGCUGUAAUUUUUGUUAUAAGAAAACUUUCAAGGGACUCAGAGAUUUAUACAUCGGGGAAUGCGAGUUGUGGAUGUUGAGUGACAACCUCCAUGGAUUUGAACGCCUCACCUUUGCCAGAAGAAGAUGAAGACGUGAGUUUUGGAGAACAUAUUGAAGAAGAAACAUCGGAAGAGCACAUAGAGACAGCAGUAGAAACCUUGCGCAGAGAACGUGAAGAACGACGCCGCCGAUUGAAAAGAGAACACACAGAUGAAGGGCCUCAGAGAGAUGUACAACCACAUAAGACUAAUUCAGUGAUUUCAGAAAGGAAUUUUAGAUGUUAUGACAGAAGCAAGCUGCCCCCUGGUUGGUUGGAUUGUCCUGGACAUGGUCAAGCAAUUGGUUAUAUAAUCCCUUCUAAGGUUCCUCUCGGGGAGUCUUUCAAUGACUGUAUUGUGCCUGGUAAAAGAUAUUCUUCAAAACAAGCUAUCCAUCAACAAAAAGUGCUAAGAAGGGAACUUGGCUUGGUCAUUGAUCUGACAAAUACUUCUCGCUACUAUUCCCCAAUAGAUUGGAAGAAGCAAGGUAUUAAGCACUUUAAGAUUGCAUGCAAGGGACGUGAUGCUGUACCUGACAAUGAGUCUGUAAACCAUUUUGUCUAUGAGGUCUCGCAGUUCCUCCUCAACCAGAAGCACUCGAAGAAAUAUGUUCUUGUCCAUUGUACACACGGGCAUAACCGGACAGGUUUUAUGAUAAUUCAUUUUCUUAUUCGUUCGCAACACAUUUCUGUCACCAAGGCACUGCAACUGUUUGCUAAUGCACGGCCUCCAGGAAUCUAUAAGCAGGAUUACAUUGACGCAUUGUACAAAUUUUAUCAUGAAAAGAGGCCUGAGACAGUCACUUGUCCUUCCACUCCAGAGUGGAAAAGAUCUUCUGAUCUUGAUUUGAACGGUGAUGCUGUGCAGGAUGAGGAUGAUGAUGGUGUUAUUGCUGGUCCUUUGCAUGAGGAGCAGAUGGAAAAUGAAGUGAUGACAAAUGAUGAUGUUUUGGGAGAUGCAAUACCUUACUAUCAGCAAGAUUACAUGCGGAAGUUCUGCUAUCACUCACUUAAGUGCCCAAUAGGACCGAAAGGACACUCACGGUUUCCAGGAUCGCACCCAGUUUCUCUCAACAGGGAAAAUUUGCAACUCCUGAGACAGCGCUAUUAUUAUGCUACAUGGAAAGCAGAUGGAACACGAUACAUGAUGCUUAUCACUUCUGAGGGGUGUUAUUUGAUUGAUAGAAACUUUUGUUUUCGGAGGGUUCAGAUGCGGUUUCCUUUGAAACCUACAAAUGAGGGUAAUCGUAGUGAGAGGACCCAUGACCUAACAUUACUUGAUGGUGAGAUGAUACUCGACACUGUACCCACAACACAAAAGCUGGAAAGAAGAUACCUGAUUUAUGAUCUAAUGGCACUUAAUUCGCAGUCUGUUAUCGAGCUACCCUUCUCUGAAAGGUGGAAACUACUUGAGAAAGAAGUGAUUGAACCUCGAAAUAAUGAACGUUCAAAUAUUCAGCUGAGUGGAAAUCUUCAUUACAGAUAUGACAUGGAACCGUUCCGAGUCAGGAGGAAGGCUUUCUGGUUACUAUCCACUGUUGACAAGCUUCUCAUGGAAUUCAUUCCAAACCUUUCACAUGAGGCAGAUGGUCUUAUUUUUCAGGGCUGGGAUGAUCCAUAUGUACCUAAAACCCAUGAAGGCCUUCUAAAGUGGAAGUAUCCUGAAGUGAACUCGGUUGAUUUCCUGUUUGAGGUGGGAGAUGAUAUUAGUCAGCGACUUUAUCUUUUUGACAGAGGUAAAAAGAAGCAAUUGGAACGGAGUCGUGUUAUUUUUAAAGUGGGACCCAUCUGCAACCAGCCAAAACAGAUGAUGAUACACAGGCAGGCCCAUUUAAGUUUCAGCACUCUCAACUCCAGUCCCACUUUGUGAAAUGACUUGAGACUUGAGAGGUGUUGGAUAAGUGGGAGCUGUUUUGGCAGCACAGGUGAAAUAUCACUACUUUUGGUGUUAUUCUUAUUCCAUUUUGCCAUGUGAGCAUGUUUCAGUGGAUAAUACCCUGCUAUUUUGAGCGGCCAAUCACUCAAGCUUGGCUUUCCAUGUUGGUGAUUCGUUCUUACUAUUUUGUGUGGAAACUGCCCCUCCAUUACCCUACAUUACUAGCUCGCCUUUGGGGCAUGGAUGUAAUGGUUGAGCUGGAGGUUGCCACUGGGUGGGACUGUGUUGGCAUGUGAAUGGUGUCAAUGCAAGCCCUUUCCCAUGGCGUGCUGCAUCCAAAACUCCAUCUAAAAGAGGAAGUUUGAUGUUUGCUGGGCAGCAGAUUAUAAAACCUUUGCCAUUUAGUAACCAACCCAAAAUUUCUGGGGGGAACAGUUAAGAUGACGAUGACAACAACUACGGCUUGUCAUUUCCAAAUGACAGAAGGCAGAAAACUUUUGGGGGAAAAAACACUUACUGUUGUAUUCUGCUGUUUGGAAUUGUAUGCCUGCAAUUCUUAUCUCGAAUGGUACAGCAUUCGUUCAAACUCUUGAAUUUUUGGCUGCAGUUUUGAGAGAAAAAAAAUUCAAGCCUUUUCUCAAAGGCUCAAACCUUUUUCCCUUGCAACACAAGAUUAGCAGCAUUGUCAUAGCACUUGGAAAAUACAAAUUCAGAUCAAACUCUGAGGGCCUGUUUAGAUUUGUUGAAAUAUAAAUUGAUGAAAUGUCAUAUCCAUGAAAAUGGCAUUUUUUUUGUUUGUUUUUGUAAAUUUCUUGAAAAUGUCAUUUCCAUUUCUCUCAUUUCCUGAAAAAUGCCCCCUUUUAGUUUCCUUGCCUAGACUGGCAACAAAUUUUCCAUGAAUAUAGAUUUGUAAAUGAAAAAAAAUUUUCAAGAAAAUCUUGCUGAAAGACAACAUGGGAAACAGAUUUUCAUUUCUUACUGUUUUCUAGAUAUGGAGUUUCCCAAAAAACUCCAUUUUCUUCAAAUUUUUUUAUUUUUUUAAUAAAAUCCACAAAUCCAAACAGUCCUUAAAGUAGGAUCUUUUGCAUUUGAGUCUGCUCAGUUCUUUUGCCACUUCUGUGAAAGCAAACAAUUGGUCUUCCGGAAUGAUGAUGAGGAACUGUUUGGUUUACUCGUCGCUAGCAACAAUUUAGGCAAGGUGCUAAUUGAAGAAAAGGUUGGUUUAAAAUAUAGGCGGUGCCUGGUUCGGUACUUAUCACCAAUGUUGAUUAAGCUAGACAAUCAAACAAUUUUUUUUUUUUUGGAAAGGUAGUCUGAAGUUGCUGCUGCUGCUUCCUUUUGUGAAUUAGACCCCUCCACAUUUUCGGGGAAGAUUAUUGAGUGCAGUUGGAACUCAGAGGAGCAGUCCUGGGUAUACAUGCGCAUGAGGACAGACAAAGCAACCCCGAAUGAAUUUUUUA